UGGGGAAUAUUGCACAAUGGAGGGAACUCUGAUGCAGCGACGCCGCGUGAACGAAGAAGGCUUUCGAGUCGUAAAGUUCUUUUAUAUGGGAAGAUAAUGACGGUUCCAUAAGAAAAAGCCCCGGCUAACUACGUGCCAGCAGCCGCGGUAAUACGUAGGGGGCUAGCGUUGUCCGGAAUCACUGGGCGUAAAGGGUUCGCAGGCGGAAAGGCAAGUCAGGUGUAAAAGGCAGUAGCUUAACUACUGUAAGAAUUUGAAACUGCAUAUCUUGAGAAGAGUAGAGGUGAGUGGAAUUUUUAGUGUAGCGGUGAAAUGCGUAGAUAUUAAAAAGAAUACCGGUGGCACAGGCGGCGUACUGGGCUCAUUCUGACGCUACGCAGCGAAAGCGUGGGUAGCAAACAGG
rnacentral:rRNA from 1 species